AUGGGAGCACUGAAUUAUGUAAGACGAAUCUUAAUGGACGUGAAAAAUCUAAAACUCAAUACCACAAUCUUAACUAGAGACCUUGAAACCCCCUUAUCCCUAAAAGACAGAAAUUCUGAAACACGUGCUGAUAUUCCAAAAUACUGCGCUUGGCACUCCGAAUGGUUUCCUGCGUGGGCAGUGCUGUCAACCCUGGUCCUUUGUAAGAAUCUGGUUGACAACUGUAAAAUAAUCGGCAAGGUUGGAAAGCAGAAGCGUGUUGUUGGUGUGCUUUUGGGGUCGUGGCAAAAGAAGGUACUUGACGUAUCCGACAGUUUUGCAAUCCCUUUUGAUGAAGAUGACAAAGAUGACUCUGACUGGUUCUUAGACCAUGAUUAUUUGGAAAACAUGUAUGGAAUGUUUAAGAAAGUCAAUGCUAGAGAAAGAAUAGUUGGGUGGUACCACACAGGCCCUAAACUACAUAAGAAUGACAUCGCCAUUAAUGAGCUCAUGAAAAGAUACUGCCCAAACUCAGUGCUGGUCAUCAUUGAUGUGAAGCCCAAGGACCUGGGCUUGCCCACAGAAGCAUACAUCUCUGUGGAGGAAGUUCACGAUGAUGGGACUCCAACCUCGAAAGCGUUUGAACACGUGACCAGUGAGAUCCGAGCAGAGGAGGCUGAGGAGGUUGCAGACAUCAAAGACACUACAGUGGGCACUCUGUCCCAGCGGAUCACGAACCAGGUCCACGGUCUGAAGGGACUGAACUCCAAGCUGCUGGAUAUCCGGAGCUACCUGGAGAAAGUAGCCACAGGCAAGCAGCCUAUCAACCACCAGAUCAUCUACCAGCUGCAGGACGUCUUCAACCUACUGCCUGAUGUCAGCCUGCAGGAGUUUGUCAAGGCCUUCUACCUGAAGACCAAUGACCAAAUGGUGGUGGUGUACUUGGCCUCACUGAUCCGCUCUGUGAUCGCCCUACACAACUUCAUCAAUAACAAGAUCGCCAACCGGGAUGCAGAGAAGAGGGGCAGGAGAAAGAAGAGUGAAAAAAGGAUAGGAAAGAUGACAAAGAGAAGAAGAAAGAGAAGGAGAAGAGUGAUGUGAAGAAAGAAGAGAAAAAGGAGAAAAAGUAA